rnacentral:lncRNA from 1 species
GGAGUUUGUAUCGAAAGAAAAAGACGCUGUAGCGCCCUCUGCUGUCUGUGAAAGAGAAGACGGCAGACACCCAUUUUCUAAUUUAGAUGCAUCAUCAUCACACAAAUGAGCGCGAUUAAAACGCGUCACGAAGUUCGCGACACCAACACACCAGCGAGAUUUGCAGCGCCGUCAGCUCAGCACUCAACCAACUUCAUUUUUUUUGAAGCAGAUUCCAGUACAGAUGCCGUGCAUGCAACACUUCUAAUAAGAGCUCAUCAAAAAUAGGAAGAGGGUGAAACAGAAGAAAAAGGAAGGAGAGAAUAAAUUUGAAUGCAUGAUAUGAUGUAUUCAGCCAGAUGCAGUGAUGAUACCUCAGCCACAGCCUGCAGGUGAGAUGCACGCAAUGUUUCACUGGAUUAAGACGCUGUCAGUGUGAAAACAUGACCCUACAUUGGGUCUCUGCGACAGGCAUUCUGGGAUUCCAGGCUGAAAUUUCAGCUGUCAGUGAUUGAGGGCUAAAAUGCUGAUUCUGCUAAUUCGGAUCAAAGGC